GGAGAGAAGGCAACUUUAAAAAAAAAAAAGGUCACUUUCAAAGACCCAGCGCCUAGGCGAAAGGCUCUCACCUCUUGGGACUGGGGCACACCUUGGCCAGCACCUCAUGUAGUUGGCCCUGGUUAGAAAGGGAAGAGGGAUACCUUAUCUUCCAUGUUGCUAAUUCCUUCCCUUUUCCUUAAUACAAUUUCUUCUAAUAUUUAUAAAAAUAUAAAAAUAAAAUAAAAAUUGUAUUAUGAUUAAAAGAAGUAUUUAGUUAAUGAAUAUGAAUUUAAUUAACCAGUUUCAUGUUUUAUACAAAAAUUAUUGAAAUAUUUGACAUUCAACAAAGACCUUGCCACCAAAAAACAGAAGCAGUUGCACAAGCAUCAAUCUGAAUAAUGGACAAACAAUAAAGUCAUAUUCAGAGAAAAGAAGAACUUGUACUCUUGUAAUUGUUGAUAUUCCUG
rnacentral:misc_RNA from 1 species